AGCCUGGUCCUGCGCGGCGAGGCCUCGUGAACCCCGUCAGGACCGGAAGGUAGCAGCGGUAAGCGAAUCACCUCGGGUGCCGUGGGAACGCCGGGCUAGA
rnacentral:SRP_RNA from 1 species